GGCUCCAUAGUGUAGUGGUUAGCACAUCUGCUUUACACGCAGAAGGUCCUGGGUUCACUCCCCAGGUGGAACCA
rfam:Pteropus alecto contig61967, whole genome shotgun sequence.